GGCUUCAUAGCUCACCUUGUAGAGUGUGCGCUGUACAAAAGCUUAGGUGGCAUCAAUGCGUGGGUUCGAAUCCCACCGAGGCUA
rnacentral:tRNA from 1 species